rnacentral:rRNA from 1 species
CAUAGGUUAAUGAGGCGAACCGGGGGAACUGAAACAUCUAAGUACCCCGAGGAAAAGAAAUCAACCGAGAUUCCCCCAGUAGCGGCGAGCGAACGGGGAGGAGCCCAGAGCCUGAAUCAGUGUGUGUGUUAGUGGAAGCGUCUGGAAAGGCGCGCGAUACAGGGUGACAGCCCCGUACACAAAAAUGCACAUGCUGUGAGCUCGAUGAGUAGGGCGGGACACGUGGUAUCCUGUCUGAAUAUGGGGGGACCAUCCUCCAAGGCUAAAUACUCCUGACUGACCGAUAGUGAACCAGUACCGUGAGGGAAAGGCGAAAAGAACCCCGGCGAGGGGAGUGAAAAAGAACCUGAAACCGUGUACGUACAAGCAGUGGGAGCCUCUUAAUGGGGUGACUGCGUACCUUUUGUAUAAUGGGUCAGCGACUUAUAUUCUGUAGCAAGGUUAACCGAAUAGGGGAGCCGAAGGGAAACCGAGUCUUAACUGGGCGUUAAGUUGCAGGGUAUAGACCCGAAACCCGGUGAUCUAGCCAUGGGCAGGUUGAAGGUUGGGUAACACUAACUGGAGGACCGAACCGACUAAUGUUGAAAAAUUAGCGGAUGACUUGUGGCUGGGGGUGAAAGGCCAAUCAAACCGGGAGAUAGCUGGUUCUCCCCGAAAGCUAUUUAGGUAGCGCCUCGUGAAUUCAUCUCCGGGGGUAGAGCACUGUUUCGGCAAGGGGGUCAUCCCGACUUACCAACCCGAUGCAAACUGCGAAUACCGGAGAAUGUUAUCACGGGAGACACACGGCGGGUGCUAACGUCCGUCGUGAAGAGGGAAACAACCCAGACCGCCAGCUAAGGUCCCAAAGUCAUGGUUAAGUGGGAAACGAUGUGGGAAGGCCCAGACAGCCAGGAUGUUGGCUUAGAAGCAGCCAUCAUUUAAAGAAAGCGUAAUAGCUCACUGGUCGAGUCGGCCUGCGCGGAAGAUGUAACGGGGCUAAACCAUGCACCGAAGCUGCGGCAGCGACACUAUGUGUUGUUGGGUAGGGGAGCGUUCUGUAAGCCUGUGAAGGUGGCCUGUGAGGGUUGCUGGAGGUAUCAGAAGUGCGAAUGCUGACAUAAGUAACGAUAAAGCGGGUGAAAAGCCCGCUCGCCGGAAGACCAAGGGUUCCUGUCCAACGUUAAUCGGGGCAGGGUGAGUCGACCCCUAAGGCGAGGCCGAAAGGCGUAGUCGAUGGGAAACAGGUUAAUAUUCCUGUACUUGGUGUUACUGCGAAGGGGGGACGGAGAAGGCUAUGUUGGCCGGGCGACGGUUGUCCCGGUUUAAGCGUGUAGGCUGGUUUUCCAGGCAAAUCCGGAAAACCAAGGCUGAGGCGUGAUGACGAGGCACUACGGUGCUGAAGUGACAAAUGCCCUGCUUCCAGGAAAAGCCUCUAAGCAUCAGGUAACAUCAAAUCGUACCCCAAACCGACACAGGUGGUCAGGUAGAGAAUACCAAGGCGCUUGAGAGAACUCGGGUGAAGGAACUAGGCAAAAUGGUGCCGUAACUUCGGGAGAAGGCACGCUGAUAUGUAGGUGAAGCGACUUGCUCGUGGAGCUGAAAUCAGUCGAAGAUACCAGCUGGCUGCAACUGUUUAUUAAAA